AGAUUUAAGCUAUAUACAACUUAAACCAACUAUUUAAUCUUCUAACCCAACUAACACAUGUAUAGAUAAUCAUUAGAAAAAAUCAGAACCUAUAACAUUUUUGUUGAACACUGAACUUCGUCCAUUCAAGGUUAACACACAUUCAUUUGAAAUCAGAGAUGGCAAGCCACCACAAGAGAAACUCAUUAGCUUAUACACGGACCAUAUGUGCAAUUUUCAAAGAUAAAACAUUCUUCAUACACUCGAUACAUUAGAUUGAAGUUUCAUACCUUGUGAGCAACACAUCAAAAGGAAAAGAAAAUGAAUAUCUGGUUCUGAGGAAUGGAAGCACCACAGAACCAAAAAGGAACAGCUGCAGGUCGACAAAUAGUAACAUGUUCAAACGUCCAAAACCAGAAUCAAAGAAAAGAAGAACUCUGCUAUUUCGAAUUGCUAACUGAGAUUGACAUCCAGUGAAAUCAUGUAACCUCCAUAAUAUUUUUUUAUUUUUGUUCUGUUCGGAUAUAUGAAAAACAAGAAAAUCGCAACCAAAAAAAGGAAACUUUAAACCUAAUUUUCUUCCUUCAAAUUUUCAGAAGAGGUCUCUCCAAAAUUCCUUUAAUCCAAAAAAAAAAAACUCCCUACACAAGAAAAGGUCUUCACCUUGUAUAGACUUCCCAAAGAUCUCGAAGCUUCUACUUCCCUUUUCAAGAAAUCCUCUGAGCCACGAAAUCUUCUGUCUAAACUAAUUUUUACCCUUUUUCAUAAAGGGACAAAUGGAGGGAGUAGAUCAACUCGAAUCUGAUAUGACGCUCCUCAUUUUUCCUCAUUUUCAUCUGAAGGGUGAAAAUUUUGAAAUAAAUCAAAGAGAGCAUGUGAGGGAGAGGGAAUAUGUAAGAAACGGUUACAAUAUGGCAAGAGGAGAGAGGGUAAAACACGUGGCGCGAGUUUGGGUUUCACUCGCCUGAAUUUUGGCAAGUUUUGGGAACAGAUUCGACUUGUUGGAGAUGAAGAAUAGUGUUCCGCCGUUUGGGGUCUUUGAAUUUAGGGUUUUCUUUUAUUUUUUGUGUUAUAAGUGGGAUGGGCGGGUAAUGAGUCGUGGGUUAUGGGAUGGAGAGGGGCA
rnacentral:lncRNA from 1 species